ensembl:lncRNA
GGAAACGAAUGUCUUCAUCCACGAAUGCCAGAACUUCACAAAGACUUCCAAAGGCAUGCAGGAGCCUAGGCACUUCCAGUGUCGUUCCAGGUGUCUCCUGCUGGCACUUGUUAUUUUGCUGGGGAUCCUGGUCGGAGGAAUGGUUGGACUUUUUACCGUUUGGAUGGCACAGAAUGCAGUCGAAUCAAGAUUCACUUGUCCACAGGAAACACAACAGUCAAAUGUCACAUAUGGACUCAUCAACACCAUUAAUAUUUCAGAUCUCUCCACCCCCUGUUGAGAACCACUGGCGUAGAGUAAUGACCUGGACUUGCUACCUACUCUUUUUUUUUUCUUUUCCCAGA